UCGGGUUGAAAGCCGGAUCUAGUCUCAUGCUGCCGUGUCACCAAGGGGAGAAGUUACCAGAACUCAGCUUUUGGAUGUUCAGAGAAUCCAAUUUGACACAAACGCAGGAGUCUGGUAGCUUCACAAAAGGGCUGCGUAAUGGAAAUCUAAUAGGAGAAGCUCGGGGGAAACAUCCGGCAGCCACGUUGACCGUGCAUCACAGACCAGGGAAUAGCACAAGAUCACAACCACUUCCAAAUUUGGCCAAGCACCACCUUGCUGGACUUGCGCAAAACAACUCCAUUACCUUCUUGUCCGAGGGACUGGAAAGUUCUUUCUGUGCUCUGCUCAGGGGAGGCAGGUCACACAUGCACCCGAGCCUGCCCCCACCUGCCUGCUGAGGCUGAACCGCAGCACCGGGACCGGCAGUGACUUCCGUGGGCUGACAGAGUUAAAAAUACAAGUUGCCUUGGCGAGGGUUUUUGCAAACACCUGCUUUGCAAGCUGUCCUCCCACACGGUGACCUUGGGAAGGCCUUGGAGAGGGGGGAGCCGGGGUUUCUGUCAGCUCUGCCUUUGUCUCUGGGCCUUUCCGGAAUCAGGAGGCAAGUGCCAGCGGGGUGUUCGGCGGUGGAUGAACUUGGCCCGUGGUGGCUGCCGAGCCUUCUAAUCCAACCAAGUCAGCAAGGGACCAGGCUCCACGUUCAGCCCCAGAGCCCCGAGCAGCAGUCAGGGUGAGGGAUAUGUUGAGCAGCGGCGUCGGUCCCCUCGGUCUUCGAGGGACAGGGACCAUCCUGCCAGUGGGCACGGGAAGGGAAGAUGUGACAGGCUCAGCUCUUGAGGCUGCGGGGAGCUGGGAGCGUUCCCGCCCUUCCUAGGGAAGAAGCGGGCCCUGGCGCUGAGCCGGUGUGCAAACCUGCGGCUGGAAACCCACGGCGAAGGUCGGAGGCCGAACGCCUGCCCUGCCCGGGGCCGCUGCAGCCCAGCGAGAGGGAACCUGCCACCGCACAUCGGAGGCGGCCCUGUCCAGACCGCCACCAGCAGGGCCCGCCGCAGCAGCCAGGUGGUACAGGAGCUGCUUGUGUCUUCGGGGGAGCCGGAGGGGGUAGAGUCUGAGGAGGAGAAGAGCUACGGAGGAAGGAAAGGAGAUGAUCCACCUGCGAACUCAGAACCUGCAAAGAAGCUUCCUCAAAAGAGCCAACAGGGAUCCAGGUUGUGGACAAAAGAGCAGACCACAGAGUCCUUAAUGCAAUUGUAUAAAUAUAUAAUUA